rnacentral:rRNA from 1 species
CUACGGGGUGCUCCAGUGAGGAAUAUUGCACAAUGGGGGGAACCCUGAUGCAGCAACGCCGCGUGGAGGAUGACGCAUUUCGGUGUGUAAACUCCUUUUAUAUGUCAAGAAAAUGACGGUAGCAUAUGAAUAAGCACCGGCUAACUCCGUGGCCAGCAGCCGCGGUAAUACGGAGGGUGCAAGCGUUACUCGGAAUCACUGGGCGUAAAGGACGCGUAGGCGGGUUGGAAAGUCAGGUGUGAAAUCCUACAGCUUAACUGUAGAACUGCACUUGAAACUUCUAAUCUAGAGUAUGGGAGGGGGAGAUGGAAUUAGUGGUGUAGGGGUAAAAUCCGUAGAUAUCACUAGGAAUACCUAAAGCGAAGGCGAUCUCCUGGAACAUUACUGACGCUAAGGCGUGAAAGCGUGGGGAGCAAACAGGAUUAGAUACCCUUGUAGUC